rnacentral:rRNA from 1 species
UUGGUGGAUGACUCGGUUGACAUGCCGAAGAAGGACGCGACAAGCGGCGAUAUUCCGUGGGUAGGCGCAUGAAGCCAUUGAUCCGCGGGAUUCCGAAUAGGACCUCCAAGCACGGGCUAUUACCUCGUGCUAUUCCCGAGUCACAUCGGGAAGGGGAACGCUCAGAACUGAAGCAUCUUAGUAUGAGCAGGAGUAGAAAACAAGUCGUGAUUCCCUGAGUAACAGCGAGCGAAAGGGGAAAAGGCCAAACUGAACCCCAAGACGAAAAGUGUUGGGGGAUGUGGUGUAAGGGCCACGGACAAGUGCCUCAACGUCCAAAUCAAAGUCGUCUGGAACGACGCGGCAAAGAGGGUGACACCCCCGUAGGUGUAAAACGUUGGCAUGUCUGUGGAUCCCAGAGUAGCAUGGGUCGGUUGUCUCGUGUGAAUUACGCAGGUACAAUCUGCGAAGCCUAAAUACUAUGUCAAACCGAUAGCAGACUAGUAGCGCGAGCGAAAGUUGAAAAGUACCGCGGAAGCGGGGUGAAAAGUACCUGAAACCAGCAAUCUAGUCAAAGGAUGUCUGAUUAAAAGAGGAGAUACUCGGGGAACGAACUAGGGGAGACCCUUUAGUAGGACCUGAGUGGAUCGAAUCAGCAUCAUCCGUCUUGAACCACGGACCAGGGAGUUCAUAGAAGUGGCGAGGAUAAGGUGUCAAAACCGUAAACGAAGGGAAACCAACAAGCCCGCAACCGGGCAAUCCGGUGAGGGGCGACGUCUACAAGGGCGUGUAGUCACAGCUAUGACACGAGAAACCAGUCGAUCUAGGCUUGGUCAGGGUGAAGCCGGGCGAAAGCUCGGUGGAGGCCCGAUAGGGUUCUGAUAUACAAAUCGUUCCGUUGAACUGGGCCUAGGGGUAAAAUGCUUAUCUAGACUGGUGAUAGCUCGUUCUCCGCGAAGUUGGUCGCAGCCAAGCUCUGCUUGAGAUAUCAUGUGGUGUAGAGCACUUUCGGACGACUCGGGAUCCCUCGCGGGAUUUCACCGUCCUGAAAACUCCGAAGUUGCAUGAAUCGUAGACGGCAGGAGACGGGUACCCGGGGUAAGCCCGGCAGGCCGAGAUGGGGAGAACCGAGAGUGUGGUUAAGGUCCCUAAGUGCCAGAUAAGUGCGAUAAUGAAGGGCGUCGAGAGCCCAAGACAGUCUGGGGGUGAGCUUAGAGGCAGCUAUCCCCGAACGAAAGCGUAACAGCUCACAGACCGAGGCUCUCGGCCUCUAAAAUGGACGGGGCUAAAUCUGGCCACCGAGACCAUACCGCACGCGGGUAACACUGCGUGAUCGGGUAGCGGAGCGACCUGAUGGGGUAGAAGUAGGGCCGUGAGGUCCUGUGGACCCGUCAGUUUUGAUCAUCCUGGUAGUAGUAACAGCGAAGCAUGGUGAGAAUCCAUGCCACCGAAAGGGAAAGGGUUCUUCGGCAAUGCGUCGUCAGCCGAAGCUUAGUCGGUUCUAAGUGGCAUCGUAAUUCGAGUGUCACGAAAGAGAAUCAGGUUAAUAUUCCUGAACCUCGGAAGUACUCUACGCGGUAACGCGAAGCCGGACUUGUAACUCAUCCGGAUAGGCCUUGUACAGCACUCGCUGUAUUUAACAGGAUAAUCCUACCGAGUACCGUAAUGGUGAGACGUAGGAGAAACUUGGAAUAGCAGGUGGUCGGACAUCUGUUUGGCUUAUUCCCGGUGACCUUGAAAAACGAGUCCGGAAGGAUCUUCCGAGUCCGUACCCAGAUCUGACACAGGUUCCCUGGCUGAGAAGGCCAAGGUGUAUCCAGUUCACUCCAGUUGAGGGAAAUCGGCCAAUUAGCAGCGUAACUUCGGGAUAUGCUGUGCCUAGAGGGGUUCACGCUCCUCCAGGUCUAUUGUUACUAGGGGGUCCCAACUGUUUAAUAAAAACAUAGCUGACUGCGAGCGCGUAAGCGUUAGUACAGUCAGUGACUCCUGGUCUGUGCCAGUAUGUUAAAGCUCCGGAAGGGGUCCAAGCACUGGUCAACGCCGGGACUAACUAUGAGUCUCUUAAGGUAGCCAUACGCCUUGUCGGUUAAAUGCCGACGUGCAUGAAGGGAUUAAUGAGGGCCCCACUGUCCCCAACUGGAACUGGGUGAACCUACACCGUACCGAAUAGUGUACGUAGCGCCAAUGGGAAGAGAAGUCCCUGCGGAGGUUUACUACGCAACCUGUUAUUGCCAUCUUUGCCUAUGUGCAAAGCGUAGUCAGGAGCGUUGAAUCCCAACUCCUGGGUUGGGAGGAUGCAACCAUGUAACACUGACCAUGUAGACGAGGGUGGCUAACCUAGGCCAAGCGUGCCUAGGGACACUUUCAGGUAGGCAGUUGGGCUGGGGCGGCACGCGGCUGACAUCAGAUCAGCCGCGACCAAUGCUAAGCUCAGAGGCGAUGGAAACGUCUCGUUGAGAUUAAGGGCAUAAGCUUGGCUGAUGGGAUCCCGCCACGCAAAGGAUCCCGGGGCGAAAGCCUGGCCUAUCGAACUUCCUGAUAGCCAAUUGUAAGUGCUGGAAAUGACAAAAAACUUACCCCAGGGGUAACAGAGUUGUCGCGGGCAAGAGUUCAUAUCGACCCCGCGGCUUGCUUCCUCGAUGUCGGCUCUUGGUAUCCUCGGGUUGCAUAAGGCCCGAAGGGUGCGGGUGCUCACCGAUUAAAACCGAUCGUGAGCUGGGUUUAGACCGUUGCGAGACAGGUCGGUUUCUAUCUAUUGGCGCUGUUGGAUGUUUGAUGGCAAGAUGAUGCCGGUACGAGAGGAACGCAUUGUCGCAGCCUAUGGUGUACCCAUUGUCCGGAAGGGCAGCGUGGGGUAGCUAAGCUGCACGGGAUAACAGCUGAAUGCAUCUAAGCUGGAAGCCCCACCAAAAAAGAAACAUCCACUU